UACGUAGGCAGCGAGCGUUGUUCGGAGUUACUGGGCGUAAAGGGUGUGUAGGCGGUUGUUUAAGUUUGGUGUGAAAUCUCCCGGCUCAACUGGGAGGGUGCGCCGAAUACUGAAUGACUAGAGUGCGGGAGAGGAAAGUGGAAUUCCUGGUGUAGCGGUGAGAUGCGUAGAUAUCAGGAGGAACACCGGUGGUGUAGACGGCUUUCUGGACCGUAACUGACGCUGAGACACGAAAGCGUGGGUAGCAAACAGG
rnacentral:rRNA from 1 species